rnacentral:lncRNA from 1 species
AAAUAAAGCUCGCCUCUUAAAAGCAAUAAAUAACCUUGAGCAGAUGCUGGCUCACUCCUAAUCCAAUUAUCUAUCAGCAGGCCUACGCAGUGCUGGGAGGAAAAAAACACCGACCCCAUCUUGCUGGGAAAUGGGGCUUCAGCUUCUUCCAGUUUUUGGACUCCCACCCUGGCCCAGAUCCAGAAGAGCUCUCCAGAAACACGUCCGUGAGCGGCACAGCAGCACAGGCAAAAAGGCUGAGGGUGAUGAAGGGGAGCAUCAACAAACAUCGUGUUUGGACAACACCAACCCAACUAAGCUGCAUGUUUAGGAUUAGCACAGUAUCCAUGCUGGUAUUUGCCUAUUGACGAUCAUCUCCCAAAACAUCUUUGUUCCUGGAAAGCCUCAACAAAAAGUUCUCCAAGAGAUGAGCAGGAAUCAGUUGGAGACCGCAGCUGUGAGUGCCCCGGGCAGAGCUCCUUGGUGAGUCUUCACAAAGGAAUUCUGCAUUCCUCCCCCUGCUCAAAGUGACUGGAGCAGGGAAAUGUAGUCUUGUUCCCUUGUAGACUCUGUAGAAGCUUUUAAAAGGAAUUGGAGAUACAUAGAGACCUUUUUCCAGUUAAUUUUAAUGCAAACCUAAAUGCCUUGAUACUGACAGCUAUACAUUGCUGAUGGGGCUGUGAGAUUUGUGCUCUGUCCUCUUGGAGUCUCUCUCUUCUCUCAGGAUAAGGUGUCUAGUUAGAGAAAUGCUUCCAAGAACCCACCCCUGAGCUGUAGACCUGGGCUAUGGCUUUUCCUCACGUUAUAUAUGCAAAAAGAAACUAAAUGGAGCGAGGGCACAGGUCUAAACACCGUCCCAUUAUCAACUGUACUGCACACACCUUGGCAGGAUUUCAGCCCAUGCCAAAGAGCGCCCUUCAAGCAGCACCUAGACAUGGUCCAAAGAUAGCGUAGGGCAGGGACCGUGGCCAGCAAAAAGCCUGGCUGUGGCUGCAGUUGACUGAGAAGCAGUGGGGAUGGGAGUCAAGCUGAGCCACUUGGCCUCAGGGACAAGAACUAGUCUCUGGCCCGCUUGUUUUGUAAUAUAGACAAAUCCAGUGUGUGUGCAAAUCCCUUGUGGUUUAUCCACUGUGGACUAACGGCGUUUGGUGACCCCUUUGAAGGCGACUGGUCUCAGCUGCUCACCCGCUGACAUCACUGGGAGAGCAAUGUUUGCCCCAUUACCAAAAGGAGGUUCAGCCCUUGCAUUUUCCUGUGCUCACCUGGGUGAGAGCUCAGCAUCCAAAGCUCCACCAUCCCUUGCUGGUCAGUAACCAGGAAGCUUCUCCGAA